GACGAACGCUGGCGGCGUGCUUAACACAUGCAAGUCGAACGGAAAGGCCCUGCUUUUGUGGGGUUCUCGAGUGGCGAACGGGUGAGUAACACGUGAGUAACCUGCCCUUGACUUUGGGAUAACUUCAGGAAACUGGGGCUAAUACCGGAUAGGAGCUCCUGCUGCAUGGUGGGCGUUGGAAAUUUUCGGCUUUUGGGGAUGGACUCGCGGCUUAUCGGCUUGUUGGUGGGGUAGUGGCUUACCAAGGCGUUGACGGGUACCCUGCCUGAGAGGGUGAUCGGCCACACUGGAAGUGAAACACGGACCAGACUCCUGCGGGAGGCAGCAGUGUGGAAUGUGAGGCAGUGGGGGCGAGCCUGACACAGCCAGCCCGCGUGUGUGACGAAGGCGUUCGGUUCGUAAAGCCCGUUUUUGGGUUAAGAACAGCUUCAGCUUGUGACGCAGCGGUAGUGACGGUACUGGAUAAAGAAGCACCGGCUAACUACGUG
rnacentral:rRNA from 1 species